UUUGAUCAAUUCUAAAUAUAGGUUUAGAAUUUGAUCAAGUUUGAACAUGAUUGUGAUUUGACUCUAGUUUUAUAUGCUAGAGAAUCGAAUAUUUUGGGAAUUGGGAUGUUCGUGAAAAUUGAAUUUGAGUUUAGUUUAACUAUAUUUCGGUCAGUUGAUUUGGUGGAUUAGUUUAACGACGUUUCGGUCGGAGGUUUGGGUUUGGUUCACAAGGUUUAUGGUAUUGGGUAUAUGGGAUUAUGGUUCAUGAACUUAGAUAUGGUUCAUGGGUUUAUGGUUCAUGGACUUAUGGUUCAUGGGUUUAUGGUUCAUGAACUUGAUUUGAUUCAUGAACUUGAUUCAUAGUUCGUGGAUUUGGUGUAUGGUAUGGUCCACAGGAUUUGGUGUAUGGUUUGGUCCAUGGUUUUGGUUCAAAGUUCAUGGACUUGGUUAAGGUUAUGGGCUUGAAUAUGGGUUAAAUGUGUAUGGGUUCAUGGGUAAAUGUAUAUAGGUUUAUGUAUAUGGGUUUAUGGGUUAAUGGUUUUAAUGAGUUUUGGAUAAUGGGCUUAGAUAGUGGGCCCAAAUGGGUUUUGGACUGGGGCCAUUUGU
rnacentral:lncRNA from 1 species